UGAGGAAUAUUGGUCAAUGGGCGAGAGCCUGAACCAGCCAAGUCGCGUGAAGGAAGACGGUUCUAUGAAUUGUAAACUUCUUUUGUACAGGAAUAAAGUGGGUUACGUGUAACCUUUUGUAUGUACUGUACGAAUAAGGAUCGGCUAACUCCGUGCCAGCAGCCGCGGUAAUACGGAGGAUCCGAGCGUUAUCCGGAUUUAUUGGGUUUAAAGGGUGCGUAGGUGGACGUAUAAGUCAGUGGUGAAAGUUUGCAGCUUAACUGUAAAAUUGCCAUUGAAACUGUAUGUCUUGAGUGCAAAUGAGGUAGGCGGAAUGUGUUGUGUAGCGGUGAAAUGCUUAGAUAUAACACAGAACUCCGAUUGCGAAGGCAGCUUACUGGGAUGCAACUGACACUGAGGCACGAAAGCGUGGGUAUCAAACA
rnacentral:rRNA from 1 species